UUCUUAGACCUGUGCAAUGCUAUUUUUAAGCACCGCUUCAGGGUGGGAACACAGCAGAGCACUUGAUUUUAGUGUGUGCCGCAG
rnacentral:SRP_RNA from 1 species